UUCCCGGGCCUUGUACACACCGCCCGUCACACCACGAAAGUCGGCAAUACCCGAAGCCGGUGGCCUAACCCGCAAGGGAGGGAGCCGUCGAAGGUAGGGUCGAUCGAUUCGGGGUG
rnacentral:rRNA from 1 species